GCGGCCUAUCAGCUUGUUGGUGGGGUAACGGCCUACCAAGGCGACGACGGGUAGCUGGUCUGAGAGGACGAUCAGCCACACUGGGACUGAGACACGGCCCAGACUCCUACGGGAGGCAGCAGUAGGGAAUCUUGCUCAAUGGGCGAAAGCCUGAAGCAGCGACGCCGCGUGCGGGAUGAAGGCCUUCGGGUUGUAAACCGCUUUCAGCAGGGACGAAAUUGACGGUACCUGCAGAAGAAGGCCCGGCCAACUACGUGCCAGCAGCCGCGGUAAUACGUAGGGGCCUAGCGUUGUCCGGAUUUAUUGGGCGUAAAGAGCUCGUAGGCGGCUUGGUUAGUCAGGUGUGAAAUCUCCACGCUCAACGUGGAGGGGCCACCUGAUACUGCCAUGGCUUGAGUCCGGUAGGGGAGUGUGGAAUUCCCGGUGUAGCGGUGAAAUGCGCAGAUAUCGGGAGGAACACCCGUAGCGAAGGCGGCACUCUGGGCCGGUACUGACGCUGAGGAGCGAAAGCGUGGGGAACAAACAGGAUUAGAUACCCUGGCAGUCCACGCCGUAAACGUUGGGCACUAGGUGUGGGACUCUAUCGACGGGUUCCGUGCCGUAGCUAACGCAUUAAGUGCCCCGCCUGGGGAGUACGG
rnacentral:rRNA from 1 species